rnacentral:rRNA from 1 species
UCUGGCCUACGGGACGCAGCAGUGAGGAAUAUUGGUCAAUGGCCGGAAGGCUGAACCAGCCAAGCCGCGUGAAGGACGAAGGUGCCAAGCAUUGUAAACUUCUUUUGUCAAGGGACAAAAUCAGGCUCGAGAGCCUGACCGAGGGUACUUGAAGAAAAAGCAUCGGCUAACUCCGUGCCAGCAGCCGCGGUAAUACGGAGGAUGCGAGCGUUAUCCGGAUUUAUUGGGUUUAAAGGGUGCGUAGGCGGACUGUUAAGUCAGCGGUAAAAGCCCGGGGCUCAUCACCGGCGAGCCGUUG